GGGAAGGAGGUGGAGCGGAAGACUAAGCCAGAAUGUGGAUGUGCAGAUGUCGGGGAUGCUCUCAGCAUACCAAUGCAGUUCUCAACUUUUGGUUGCUCUGAUGGAAUUUCCUCUGAAGUAAACUAUUCCACUAGAAGGUGUUCACACAAAGAGAUAUACAAGAUAAAUGAAAUGCAAGAGAUAAAUGAAAACAUGAAUGGACUUUACAUAAGCAAACUGCAAGUUAAAAGGACGUGCAAUAUAACAAGUUAAAGUGCAACUGUGUAUAAUCAUAUAUCGGUGUGUCUUAUGUGAAGCCUGGGCUUCACCUGCUCAGUGAGGAGGUCCUGAAGCCAGAAGAUGAGGACUCAGACUUCAAAGACAACAUUAAAACCAUAAUCAUUUGCUACAUGUAGGACAAAUGAUGACACGUGACCUUCUGGACAUAUCAUCCCUCCUUGAUCCUUGGUUCAAAGCCUCCUAUGUGAAACCUGAGAAAGUCGAUGUCCUGAAAGCCAGAGCAUUUCAGCUACUGGACUUCAGAGCUUCACGGGAGCUGAGGGAGGAGCACCAGCACCAUCCAAAAAACAGAAGACACUGGGCACCUUUUUCAAGAAUCCCAUUCUGUUGCAGCAGCUGGAUUUGCAUACCAACAGUUGACCGAAGCUGAACACGAAAACUACCUCCAAACUCCUUCUGUGGACAGUGAUACCAAUCCUCUUGAAUCGUGGAGAGUCCACACAACUGCCUUUCCUAAACUCCUGAGUGUGGUCAAGAACUACAAAAGUUACUGGUCGAGAUGGCCCAGGAACUCAGAACCAGGAGCAAGGUUCCUGAACUUUGGUGAGAAAAUUACUAGUUUAAUGUUUUACCAUGGAAUGCAUAUGUUUUCCUUAAUGUCUACCCCGGAUGUGUAUUUUAUUUAAAUUGUUGGCUUCCCCGUCUGUGCCAUUGAAGUCUGAAAGUCCAUUUUAAAAGAGCUGAGCCACACAAACACUACAUAUCCAUCCAUCCAUCCAUCCAUCCAUCCAUUUUCUGUAACCGCUUAUCUGUUCAGGGUCACGGGGGGGUCAGGAGUCUAUAACACUACAGUAUAUAUGUCAGAAAAUAUGACCAUUUAUAGUGUAACAUCAACGUCAUUGUGUAAUAUUUGGGGGGUGGUGUGCCUGUGAUCGGAAUGUCACAGGUUCAAAUCCCAGUUGUUCCAGUGAUUGUCUGAUCUGCUCUUUCUGAAAAAAUGUAUGUCACUUUGGCUAUAAGUGUGUGCUAAACAAACUUAACGGAAUGUCUAUGAUUAUCUGUGAAUUUUUGAGUUCCAUACACUCUAGCGUUCUGUACACUACUGAUUACAUAGCUUAGUCGAUCGA